rnacentral:rRNA from 1 species
UGGGGAAUAUUGCACAAUGGGCGCAAGCCUGAUGCAGCCAUGCCGCGUGUGUGAAGAAGGCCUUCGGGUUGUAAAGCACUUUCAGCGGGGAGGAAGGCGUUAAGGUUAAUAACCUUGGCGAUUGACGUUACCCGCAGAAGAAGCACCGGCUAACUCCGUGCCAGCAGCCGCGGUAAUACGGAGGGUGCAAGCGUUAAUCGGAAUUACUGGGCGUAAAGCGCACGCAGGCGGUCUGUCAAGUCGGAUGUGAAAUCCCCGGGCUCAACCUGGGAACUGCAUUCGAAACUGUCAGGCUAGAGUCUUGUAGAGGGGGGUAGAAUUCCAGGUGUAGCGGUGAAAUGCGUAGAGAUCUGGAUGAAUACCGGUGGCGAAGGCGGCCCCCUAGACAAAGACUGACGCUCAGGUGCGAAAGCGUGGGGAGCAAACAGU